AUUGAACGCUGGCGGCAUGCCUUACACAUGCAAGUCGAACGGUAACAGGGAGCUUGCUCCGCUGACGAGUGGCGAACGGGUGAGUAAUGUAUCGGAACGUACCAUAGAGUGGGGGAUAACUAUCCGAAAGGAUAGCUAAUACCGCAUAUUCUCUCCGGAGGAAAGCAGGGGACCGCAAGGCCUUGCGCUCUUUGAGCGGCCGAUAUCAGAUUAGCUAGUUGGUGAGGUAAAGGCUCACCAAGGCGACGAUCUGUAGCGGGUCUGAGAGGAUGAUCCGCCACACUGGAACUGAGACACGGUCCAGACUCCUACGGGAGGCAGCAGUGGGGAAUAUUGGACAAUGGGCGCAAGCCUGAUCCAGCCAUGCCGCGUGAGUGAUGACGGCCUUAGGGUUGUAAAGCUCUUUUACCCGGGAAGAUAAUGACGGUACCGGGAGAAUAAGCCCCGGCUAACUUCGUG
rnacentral:rRNA from 1 species